rnacentral:lncRNA from 1 species
UAAUGGCCUUUAUUCAAUGCCCCUAUAGGUAUAUAAGGCCCCAAAAAUCAUAUUUUUUGGCCAUUUACUAAGCCUAAAUUUCUCUCUCUUCAUUUCUCUUCUCACUCUCUCUUCACUCUCUCUACCGUCGCCCCUCCACCGUCGUCGAAAAUCUCUACCGCCGGCAGACCACCUCCGAACACUUCAAAUUCACAACAUGUAAUCUCUGCAACUUCAUCUUUCCAUAUCUCCAAAACCAAAUCCUUCAAAACCCCCCUCAAACUCCUUGAAUCUCAUAUCUAGGAAACUUUUUCGUCACUUUUUUGCCCAAAUUCUUGAAGCUCCAACCACUACCACCCCACAAUACCUACAUCAACAGAUAGAGCUCCUCAAGACCUAGCUAUUGAUGCCAAUUUCACCUGAAAAUCCGGCGACCAAAAUCCGACCAAAUUCCGGCGACUUCCCCGAACACCCUCGCUUGGCACACAACUAUUGUAUUGGCCACUUGAAUUGUAAAAUGGUAAUAAUCCUAUUCUUUUUGUAUUGCUGAUUUUUUAUUUUUAUUUUUAUUUUUUCAGAUUUUACUUUGUCUCUUAUUAAUUAUUUUAGCAUUAGUUUUUGAUGUUUGAAAUUCUAAUUUUUUUUGUUUUUGCACUUAUUGAAGUAGUAGAAUAGUUUUGUAUUAAUGAAAAUGAUGUAGUGAAAGAAUACUUGAGAGUAUAGGGUACUUGUUUGGAGGCUUAUUUACUGCUUCAAGACUUUUUUGAGUACAAAACUCAAAAGUCUUUUGUUUGGUAAGAAAAUAUAGACUUUUGGACAGUUUUUGAACAAAAGUCUAUCUUUGAAUAGUGAAGAGCAGAUUUUAGUUAAAAUACUCUUUUGGAUAAGAUUGAACAAAAAAGUCUUGCCUUUUGAAUUUAAGAGCAGAUUUUUGUGGCAAAAUCUGUCAAAAAAGAUUGAUUUUUAAUUUUGAAAAGUUGGUUGUUUCUCAUAUAAAUAGGAAGACAUCUUUUACACAUGGUGGUGGGAAAAAACAUUUUUUUUACACAUCUGAUAGAGUAAAAUAUCAGUUGAACACUCAUAGUAAGUUGCAAAACCUGAGAGCUGUUUGAGUGUUAGCCAAUCUUGUGGAAAGACUUAGCGAAGAUACUUAAAGUGCUUGAAGCCAAUCUUGUUUCUUUCUUUCUCAAGCCAUUGAAUUUUUGGUCAAGUUUUUGGUUUACUUUGGUUUAAAUUGUUGUUGACAUUGUUGUUGCGUUGCUGUUGUUACUGACUUUAUUUGUUAAAAUUCAUUUCGUUCUCGGUUGAUAUCUUAUUUUCUGCUGACCAGGUAAUUCCCUCAACUAAUGUACUACUUUUGGGUCAAGAAUGAAUGAAAAUGAGAUGAUUCAAGCUUCCUUAUUUUAAGCUAUGCCUUGAAUAACAUUCAGUUCAGGUACUAUGAUUGACGUAUGAAUGAGCAUUUGUAAUAUAAUAGCUAUCAAUAUGGCAAAGCUUUCACUCUGUUUUUUUUUUUGCCAAGUUGUUAGAUUCGGAAACACAAGUUAUGUUGUUGUUUAAACGGUAAAUUUCAUGGUGGGCAUAUUUUAGUUUAUUUUUUUCAAUUUAAAACUAUUUCCACUCUCCUUUCAAAUGUUGAAAAAAUAUUUUUCCUGUCAUUGGAUUAAUUGUUGAUGAAAGUGUGAAAAAUAUGUAGGUUUAAAUAAUGAGUAUGCUAGUAAGGUUUAGAAAGAAUAUUUUUUUUUGUGAGUGCAUGAAGUGUGCUGGUGAAGUUUUAAUGGAGAGAAUUAGUGGAAAGAAUAUUUUGGGUAGCUUAUGUCGGUUACAAUCCGUACAGUUAGCUCGUUAGUGAAAUUGUCCUCUGUUAAGUAGUAUCUUUAUUUGACAUUUAAUCUUUUGAAAUUCAUUGAAUAAUUACAUGAUGUGAAUCGGGAUGUUUAGUUAUUUUGUUCUUAAGAAAACUGGAUAUGUUGUGAUUUUUUAAUGAUAAAUGGAACAUGGUUCAUCAACAAAUAAAAAUAUUGUUUGAUUUGUUAGUGUUUUGUUAAAUCUUGAAAUAAGAUAUGUUGUCUUAGAUAAUCUGAUAUGUGGGAAAAAUUGAAUAUUGAGAACGAGACUUACUAAUUGCUUAAAUUGAAAUUUUAUUUGAGCAAGUUAACUAGGUAGUAGGAUUAAGUAAAUCAAAGUUUGAAUUAAUUAAUUAUUCUUUUCUAAAUCAUAACAAAGCUGGCCCAUAUCUUUUAACAAGCAGUCCCUUUUUACUUCAAUAAGAUAGCUUUUUUCUUUAAAAUAAUAAAAGUUGGCCCAACAUUAUUUUUCUAUAUUUCCCCCUACUAAUUAGUUCCAAAAUCAGAUUUUUUUACUAGUUUAAUAGCUUAAUAACCUUUAAUGAGUUAAUUAAAUACAAUGCAAUUUUAGGACGCUCUAAAUAUAGACAAUGUGUUCACACGAUCUUUGAUCGUUUUUUUAAAAUAAAAAUGGUCAUGUGUGCAUCACCUCUCCUUGACUCUAAAAUAAUAAUUCGUGUUUUCUAGUUAAUCGUAUUUGAUCAUGUGUUCAUAUCCGUUCCUAGGUCAAAUGCGCAUAAUCAAAUAAGGACCAUGUGUGCUUACACAUUCCUCGGUCAAAAUAAAUUAUUAAGCAGUGCUAGACAAUAGUAUUUUUUAAGGCAAAUAAAUCACAAUUUAUCAAGAAUUAAUUCAUGCCAAGUUCAAGUUAAUAAAGCGACCGUGCUAGAACCACGGGACUCGGAGAAUGUCUUACACCUUCUCCAUGGUUAACAGAAUUCCUUAUCCGAACUUUAUUUUCGCAGACCAACAUGAAAAGAAUUAAAUCUUCCUUUGAAUAAGGAUUCAAAUAAAAGGUGACUUGGGACACCGACAAAAAUCAAUUCCAAGUGGCUACUCUGUAAAUAAAUUAAUUCCUAUUCAAGUUUGUCACUUAAAUUGGAAAAACCCUUUAACCCACAAUCCAUAAUAUUACAUUAUCUUUUGGGGAUAAAAAGAGGUGUGACAGCUCUGACGACUCUGUUGGGGACCUAUAAGAAUUCGAUCUUGUACAUUGAUUAAUUUUGGAUUUUAUUAUUUUUGGAUAUUACUGUGUAUGUGAGCCUAAUGUACUAAUUGUCGCUCAUUUACUUUUUUGAUAUUGUUUUAACUGUAUAUAUAAAUUGUCUUCUCUCGCACCCAAUCUGACUCUUUUGAUAUGUAAUAGUGUUGUAUGUGCUGACUAGCUCCACAAAAUUUUCUGUCUAAGACAAAGACAGUGUGCAGACCUGCUCCUGGUGAAGGAUUUAGUCACAUAUGUUUAGGUGGGGAGAACCACCAGUAAAGCCGGAACCGUUCUACGGCCAGUACGCUGACGCUCCUUGGCUCGAGUUGUCCGCUAGAGUAAACCAGUCUAGAUACCUCUCCACUGGGAUUUAAACCUAGAAGAACAAACAUCAUGUCAGAUAUCCCUAGUAAGUUCGCUUUAUGUGCAUCACACACAUUUGACUUAGCAAAACUCGGCAUAAGGGACGGGUCUGUAUAAGACAGGUAUCCUCUUUGAGACCAUUAUGUUCACUUUUGUACUACUUGCUACAUCAUUUGGAAGACUUACUUGCAUUGUUUGACCGGCUUUAGAAAAUUAAUUUAGCGGUAUUUAAAAAAAAUUAUUCUCUUAGUUUGGUACAGAUAAUUCUUUUUUUACUAAAACUUUGUAGUGGUCUGGCGUGAAGAUUAAUUUUCAUAAAAAUCAAAAAGAGAAAAAUAGUCGGUUUGACUGAACUACGCGUGUCUAAUUCUCACCAGAUGUGAGAUACGUAGGCAAACUUCAUCGGUUCCGGCCCCCAAUUUUCAAAACAAAAAAAAAUUCAAAAAAUAUUUCCCUUUACUUACUUCUUUAGAAAAUAAUUUCUUAGAGACCCAAAAUUUUGAAAAAUCCAAAAGAAUUCAAAAAUAUUUUCUUUCUUUGGAAAAUUACAAAAAAAUAAAUAAAUGAAAAAUCCAAAAAUAAAAAAAUCUUUCAAAAAUUCCAAAAAAGGGUUAAAUUCCAAAAUAUUUUUAUUUUGCUUUAGAAGUUUUUCUUUUGAAAAUUGAAAGCAAAAAACUUCGAAAUUCAAAAAUAUUUUAUUUCUUCUUUAGAAGUCUUUACUUAAAAAUAAAUUCCAAAAACAAAAAAAAAAAAUAUUUAAAAAAGCUUUAAAAUCCAAAAAAAUAAUAUUUUUUUAGAAUUCUUUCUUUCAACAAUUCCAAAAAAAAUCGAAAUUCAAAAAAAAACAAUCGCUCUUCUUUAGAAGACUUUCUUUCAACAAUUCAAUAAAAAAAUUUGAAAUCCAAAAAAAAAAUGCUAAAAAAUUCUUUCUUCUUUUGAAGCCUUUCUUUCUACCAAAAAAAAUCCAAAAAUAUUUUCCUUGUUAGGAGCUUUCGUGGAUUUAUUUGUAUAUGAGUAAAAAAACGAGAGUUACUUGGUUUACUUUAUUCCUGAUUUUCCUGAACUACAUAAUAAUCUGAUUCAUGAGGCGACAUGAUAAGUAGGCAACCUCCAAAAGGUUCGAUCAAAAUAUUCUUCAAUGGCUCUAAAUUUCACGAUCAAAAUGAGGCGAGUGAAAAGAAAAGCAAAAAAGUAGAGAGAAGAAAAUAAGAGCGUCAAUAAGCAGCAACCUGAUAAGCCGGAAUGAAACAUUGAAGCCUUCCAAAAGCAUGUUUGAUGUUAGGAGCAUGACAUAUUAAAUGUGAUUCAUAUCUGUAAAAUGCUUAAUCCCAACACGUUUGUUGUCUCUUAUCAAGUAAGCUUAAGGUGGUUGGUUUGCGGUGAAACUGGCAACACAUCAUUACUUCACCAGAUCUAAGGGAAAGGUAUUGAUGGCUAACAAUGAUGAAAUCGAGUUGGUCAGUGACGAGUCCCAAGGUCGCUUAGUUGAGCAAGAGUCGGAGGAAGUAAGAAGAUUGAAACAACAAAUGUCUCAUAUGUAUCAGGCUUGGGUCUCCGGUCAACCUCCGCCUCAGGGUCCCUCAGAGGGAACUUUCACCAUACCCCUAGCUACUCAACCACAUCUCCCUGCAACGAGUGAUCACAUUCUACCACCAGGGUAUGUGCCAAACUACAGCUUUCAUGUCGGCCCUAGUACAUCUAAUGUGCAGCCUCCUACCGCACAGGUUAGGAACACACCUCUCGCCGUGUCUAGCAUGCGUGUGUAUACAAUUCUGCUAUCACAUCCUGUGACGAAGCCAAAUAAUGAGCUGGCAUCUCAUGCUUAUGAUGGACAAUACCACUCUCUAAACAUGGCUUUCAGAGUCUCGGCUCCAUACAAUCAGACUUCUCUGUACGAGUCACCUGUAGAAAUGAAAAAGGUUGCCAAGAUAGGUGAGCCAGAUGAGUUAGCUAGAAGAAUGAAAAGCCUUGAGCAGAACAUAAAGAACAUACAAGGAAUAGGUGGUCACAAAAGUGUUCCAUUCAAUUAUCUAUGCAUAUUCCCUCACACCCAUUUGCCACCAGGGUCCAAGACCCCAAAAUUCGAGAAAUAUGAUGGACACAGUGACCCGUAUCGCCCACUUGAAAAGGUACUGCAACCAGAUGAGGGCUGCAGGAAGAAAUGAAAAGUUGCUGAUGGCUUAUUUUGGGGAGAGUUUGGUAGGGGUAGCCUCUGAAUGGUUCAUUGAACAAGAUAUCUCUCACUGGCAUGUUUGGGACGACAUGGCCCAGGCCUUCGUCAAACAAUUUUAGUACAAUAUUGAUAUUGCGCCAUAUUGCAAUUCCAUGUCUAAUAUGAAGAAAACGCCGACUGAAAGCUUUAGGGAGUAUGCCAUUAGGUGGAGAGAGCUAGCAUCUAGAGUUAAGCCAUCCAUGGAUGUGAGUUAAUCACUGUCUUCCUUCAGGCUCAAGAUCCUGAUUAUUUUCAAAAUAUAAUGUACGCAAUGGGCAGACCUUUUGCUGAUGCAAUCAAGAUAGGAGAAAUGGUCGACAAUAGCCUCAAUACAGGACGGAUUAUAAGUCAAAUGGCUCUCAAAGCAACCAUCCAAGAAAUACAGAAUAGCCUGGAUAAAAGAAGAAAGAUGAGGAGGCCGGGAUGACAUCACAAGCAAAAUGAGGCCAAAGGGGAGCAUCUCAACCUCUGGAUCCACGAUACUCAGGUUCUCCACAGUAUGCAACAAUCAAUGCUCAAUCGUAUGCCAAACCAUCCAAUCGCCAAAGAUGCGGGCCCCAGCUUUGACAUACCUUCAUCUGCGAUAGCAAAACUCUCAAUCACCCUACAACCCUCAUCUAAAAGAAGAGUAUGAGAUGGAAUAUAAGUAGAGGGACGAUUUCACACCAAUCGUAGAAUCCUACACAAGUUUGUUUGAAAGGUUUAAACAUUGUGGCAUGAUUGAGUCGUUUCAAGGGUGUGUUCCUGUUCCGUAUGCAAAAGUUUUUAACCCUGUUGUACAGUGCGUGUACCAUUCUAAGGUCUAGGGGCAUAGCACUGAGGAUUGUCGAGUUUUAAAAAAGGAAAUAGAAAUGAUGAUUUAAGAAGGGAUGAUCGUGGUUCAAGAUAAUUGCACCCUAAAUGUCAUGACAACACACGCAAUGCUUGGAUGAUUUACAAUGUUAAAGUAUAUGAGGAUAGUUUGACGAAAAGAUCAAGAACCCGUCCACUGAAUGCAAUGCGUUCAAAAUUAUUGAAGGUCUUGUUUGAUGAUGAUGUGCAAAUGCAUAGCUAAGAUGUCGAACUUGGUAAUUGGAAAGUCAAUGCUCUCCUUGCCGGAAAGGAGUCUUAGUAACUUAUUUUGUCAUUAUUUCUAUCAUAUGGAUUACUUCGAGGUUGUGAUCCAGAUGUUAUUUGUUUGUCCUAUCAUCAAACCUAUCUAUCCUUUAAUCAAUGAAGUGAAAUUUCUUGCUUUGUGUCACUUUAAUCCAUUGUGUUUAAUUAUUGUUGCAUAUAUAGUUCUUUUACGCCAAUUUUAGUGACAUGACAUGCAUACAGAGUUUUUGGCUAGAUUUUAGAAAGCUUGUCCAAUCUUGAAUUGAAUCGAAAAAAGACACUUGGAGGAUAAAUAAGAGGUUGAAGAAUUGUAAUGAUAAGCCUGUGUCACAUGGAACCAAUAUAGUUGUAUCUGUAGAGCUUAAAGAUGAUUAUCUCAAACCUAUCAUGAAUAUCGGUUUAAGGAUAAUUGAAAGUUUUGAAUCCUAGUUGGACUAAUUGAUGAAAGGCUUUUUGGCCACGGCCUUCUAUAAUCUAAUUAUAUCAGGAAAGAUGACUGAUAAUAGGCGAAAUCUAGGUGAUUUAGCUAUUGUUUAUGCUUCCGCUUGAUUAUAUUCCGAUGACAUAUUAUGGUUAAUUGAUGAAAAAUAGGCUCUAAUUGUGAUAUGUAUACAUUGCAGGAUGAGGAGCCUAAAUGAUGCUUUCAAGAGGAGAUUGGAAUGAUUUAUGAGCAAGAACAACCCUUAGGAGUCGAGUGUGCGUAAGGACGAGACGGAAAAAUGGACAAAAUUGAGCUACUGAAGCGCGCGAACUAUUGCGUUAACUUCCAAACUUCGCGCAAUAGUUUGCGAGUGUUUCUACCUAGAAGCCAAGAGAAGCGCGCGAACUAUCGCGCGAGUCCUAUCCGGAGAGACUUUAUUUAGGGUUAAAAUUGGAAUUCCUUCUUAAUCCUACUCAAUUUACAUAAAGCAACAACUCCAUUAUUGUGAAGAUCA